GACGAACGCUGGCGGCGUGCCUAAUACAUGCAAGUAGAACGCACAGUUUAUACCGUAGCUUGCUACACCAUAGACUGUGAGUUGCGAACGGGUGAGUAACGCGUAGGUAACCUGCCUGGUAGCGGGGGAUAACUAUUGGAAACGAUAGCUAAUACCGCAUAAUAUUAAUUAUUGCAUGAUAAUUAAUUGAAAGGUGCAAUUGCACCACUGCCAGAUGGACCUGCGUUGUAUUAGCUAGUAGGUGAGGUAACGGCUCACCUAGGCGACGAUACAUAGCCGACCUGAGAGGGUGAUCGGCCACACUGGGACUGAGACACGGCCCAGACUCCUACGGGAGGCAGCAGUAGGGAAUCUUCGGAAAUGGACGAAAGUCUGACCGAGCAACGCCGCGUGAGUGAAGAAGGUUUUCGGAUCGUAAAGCUCUGUUGUAAGAGAAGAACGGGUGUGAGAGUGGAAAGUUCACACUGUGACGGUAGCUUACCAGAAAGGGACGGCUAACUACGUG
rnacentral:rRNA from 1 species